rnacentral:lncRNA from 1 species
AAAAAAUUGUGUAGGGCGGCAAGUACGCAGUGGAUAGCGGUGCUCAGUAGUCGUCUGAUCGUCGGAAGGAACAGUAAUUGGUGGGUCGUCCGGUACUAUAGAAACUUCUACAGAAGACGAAGAUGUAGUGGGCUGAGAGACAAUGCGUUGGGGCUCUUCGGGAAAAGAUGUGGUGGUCGACGAAGAAUUAACAAGAAAUGAAAGAUCAAAAACAGAAGGUGAAGAAACGACAGAGGGAU